UACGGAGGGUGCAAGCGUUAUCCGGAUUCACUGGGUUUAAAGGGAGCGUAGGUGGCUUUGUAAGUCAGUGGUGAAAUAUUGCGGCUCAACCGCAAAACUGCCAUUGAUACUGCUUAGCUUGAAUCACGUCGAGGUGGAUGGAAUAAUACAUGUAGCGGUGAAAUGCUUAGAUAUGUAUUAGAACACCGAUUGCGAAGGCAGUUCACUAGGCGUGUAGUUGACACUGAGGCUCGAAAGCGUGGGGGAUCAAACAGG
rnacentral:rRNA from 1 species